GGACUACAGGGGUAUCUAAUCCCGUUCGCUCCCCUCGCUUUCGCACCUGAGCGUCAGAUACCAGCCAGGACCCUGCCUUCGCCUUUGGUGUUCCUCCGGAUCUCUACGCAUUUCACCACUCCACCCGGAAUUCCAGGUCCCUCUCUGGUCCUCAAGUCCGACCGUUUUCCCGAGUCUUGCAAAGUUGAGCUUUGCACUGUCACCGGAAACGCAUCGGACCGCCUGCGUGCGCUUUACGCCCAGUAACUCCGGACAACGCUUGCCCCCUACGUAUUACCGCGGCUGCUGGCAC
rnacentral:rRNA from 1 species